rnacentral:lncRNA from 1 species
UAUCAUCCUUUGUACUUGAUGAUUAAAGAUGUAUUAAAAAUGUUUAAAUGAUGUUAAAUAUAAAGAUUUAUUUUGGAAAUAUGUUAUGUAAAAAGAAAUGAUGCAAAGAAUGUAAAAGAAUUUACAAAAGUUGAAUGCAUGUAUGUGGUUAAAAGUUAAUCAUAUUACUUGUAUGAUGUUUAGUUUAGUACUUUCACUUUGGCUAUUGCUUGCCCUCGUGCAAGCCAAUUAUGUAUGUUUCCGCAUGUGCAAAUUUCUCUACUUGAUUU